AAUCAUCAAUAUUCGGUCGUCAAUCGACUGAAUUUCAAACGGGGAGGCCAUUAAAAUAUUUCAUUCGACUAAACCAAAAUUAUGAAGCCAACUUAUAUAUGCAAAUUUUAGUAAAAUUAAGCAAUCAUGUUUCAUUUUUCAUUAAUCAUCAAUAUUCGGUCGUCAAUCGACUGAAUUUCAAACGGUUGGCCAAGUGUUAAAAUAAUAAAUGGUCGCCAUGAUGAUUUCAUGCGAAUAGAAGGAAGAGGCGGACGACGACGACGACGACGACGAAUCGAACAUAAACGUAUCUAGGGCCGAUAAAUGUCAUGGGCCGAAUAAAUUGCCUAUCAUCGGGAACGUUGAUUUUAUAUUAACCUACUAUGUCGAACCGUUUCACAUUAUUAGCCUAUUUCUAUUUUUAAAACGUUAAGCAGGGAACCUUGUAGCAAGCUCGCAGAAACAAUUUCCCACAGUAUACAGUUGCAACGAAAUCGUUUAUUCCACUGGUAGCGUAAAACGAUGACCAAACAAUUUAUCGCGUAACGCACGUGUUUACUUGUCUAUUCGUAACGCGCGCGACCGCGAGUGUAUUAUCUAACCCACUUUCUGUUUGGUUUGGAAACACUCGAACGGGCGCGCGAAAUUCAAAGUGCGUCCACUCUCUCUGUCGAACAGGAUUUUCGAAAACCGAGAAACGUCGAAGGCGAUUGUACGCGUAUGAAUGGAAGGCUUUGUUAAACGACUCGUGUAACACGUGUCGAAGAAGUAUGCGGAGGAGAAAUAAAUUCACGUAACAAUUAAUGAGACACAUAAAUAUGGAUAGCGUGACCUUUGGAAAAGGAAACAGCGUGGAACAAGCACUCGGUUGCAACAAUUUCGAUGUCUGCUCGAUGCUACAACAGGUUUAACGCAUAAUAGCUGGUAAUGACAUUGCAAAUCACUUUCAUGAAGCCGAAUCGAUAGCUCCGAUGAAGCACGAUACGACCGAUAAAAUCAUGCGAUACCGCGCGACGCAGUGUUUGCUUUGUUGUUCGAUAUCACAGAAGUUGAAUGCCCGAAACGAAAUCAUUCGUACAAAUAAAUCAUUUCUCGUAGAACACUGGAAACGUGCAAAAUCCAAGGAUUAUCGAACGUAGAAAAGGAACACGAUUGGAACUUCCAGCACAAAUGUGCCUGCACGUUAUCUUGCACGAACAGUGAUCGCGUAAAAAAAUGUUUCGAUUCGACUGUUGUUAAGGCGAUUAAAUCGUACGAUUUCGUGGCACCGCGAUUACAUAAAUCAGAGAUGUUUAACCCGCACGUGAACCCGUUCGCAUUUACACACGCCUCGGCCGCGAAAUAACGAGCAAUUCCUUCGGCGAUUCAACACGGCUGGUUAUCCCUGCCAUUCAAACACGGCUAAUAGGGAAUAAACUAUAGAACUCUCACAGUUGCAACACACACGAGUCGACUCGGUUCUGCUAUAAAAUAAAUGGAUUCGCGAGACCCGUCGGACGGUUUCUAGAUCGAUAAUCGAACGGACCACCGUUAGAACCGCGCGGUUUACGACGAAGGACAGUACCACGUAUUUUCCACGAGAAAACCGGCUCGCGUAGCCGCUUACCUAUAAUGAUUUUAGAGAAAAUCCCUACUGCCGCGAAGGUUAUACUGCUCGCGAUGUUCCAGAGGCUGCUCGAGUUACGAAGCUUCGGUAUGAUCCACUUGAUGUCGUAUAACAUUGCACUGCCUUCCGCUGGCUGGUUCCAAAGGGGAAAACAGCAGUGCGGCACUUUUCCGGACGAUCGGGAAGCGACUUCCCCGCGAGAAAUCGUCGACUCUUUCGUAACUCGCGACAACCAUCUUCGUGCCAACUUCACGCCAUAUUUCCCGAUAACUGUCACGUGGUCGGCCGACCGUAGCCGAGCCGAGCCGAGCCGGCCGCGGUAUGCGAUUUCAGCGAUUCAGCUUUACUAAAUUAAUAACUUGCGCUUUGUUGUCGGACGAAAAAAAAUGAUCCUGUCACGUAGCGCGGAAAAUCGGCAUUGGCGUAUAUACAUUAUACCAUGAGAAUACCGGAGUUCCGAGGGUUAAUAAAUUAACGACUUGGUUUCCGAGAAAUUCGAUUUAAUGGGACACAUCUGAUCUACGAUGUACGUGUGCAGGAUUGGCAUUGGAAGUUCGCAAUGGCUAAACAAAGCGACGGUGUACAACAAGCAUAUUAUGACACGGGCGCUAGACUGCCGGCCGAAAAAUGUUCCUCUCAUCACCAUUUCGAACCAUCACAGUUGCUUCGACGAUCCAGGCAUCUGGGGUAAGUUCUAUCCGGCGUUACGACGAGAUUACACAGUGGAACUCCAUUUAUGCCAGGCCUCCCAGCGUUAGAGCGCCGAUGCGGAAGCUCGAUAAAUCCGCGAACCGUUUAAUUCAGAAGCGGUGCGAGUCAAUUGAAAAAGUAAUAUGGCUCGAUCUGUCAGCAAU